UACGGAGGGGGCUAGCGUUGUUCGGAAUUACUGGGCGUAAAGCGCACGUAGGCGGCUUUGUAAGUUAGAGGUGAAAGCCCAGGGCUCAACCCUGGAAUUGCCUUUAAGACUGCAUCGCUAGAAUUGUGGAGAGGUAAGUGGAAUUCCGAGUGUAGAGGUGAAAUUCGUAGAUAUUCGGAAGAACACCAGUGGCGAAGGCGACUUACUGAACACAUAUUGACGCUGAGGUGCGAAAAGCGGUGGGGAGCAAACAGGG
rnacentral:rRNA from 1 species